rnacentral:rRNA from 1 species
ACCGGAUGCCGAUCUCGAAAACCUGUCCCAGUUCGGACUGGAGUCUGCAACCCGACUCCACGAAGUUGGAUUCGCUAGUAAUCGCGCAUCAGCCAUGGCGCGGUGAAUACGUUCCCGGGCCUUGUACACACCGCCCGUCAAGCCAUGGGAGCCGGGGGCGCCUGAAGUCCGGGACCGCGAGGACCGGCCUAAGGCGAAACUGGUGACUGGGGCUAAGUCGUAACAAGGUACC